rnacentral:rRNA from 1 species
CAGUCGCCGCGGGAAUACGUAGGUGGCAAGCGUUGUCCGGAAUUAUUGGGCGUAAAGGGCUCGCAGGCGGUUUCUUAAGUCUGAUGUGAAAGCCCCCGGCUCAACCGGGGAGGGUCAUUGGAAACUGGGAAACUUGAGUGCAGAAGAGGAGAGUGGAAUUCCGCGUGUAGCGGUGAAAUGCGUAGAGAUGUGGAGGAACACCAGUGGCGAAGGCGACUCUCUGGUCUGUAACUGACGCUGGGGAGCGAAAGCGUGGGGAGCGAACAGGAUUAGAUACCCGCGUAGUCCCUGUCUCUUAUAA